UACGUAGGGGGCAAGCGUUGUCCGGAAUCAUUGGGCGUAAAGCGCACGUAGGCGGCCCUGUAAGUCCGUUGUGAAAGUCAAAGGCUCAACCUUUGAAUGCCGAUGGAUACUGCAGGGCUAGAGUCCGGAAGAGGCGAGUGGAAUUCCUGGUGUAGCGGUGGAAUGCGCAGAUAUCAGGAGGAACACCAAUAGCGAAGGCAGCUCGCUGGGACGGUACUGACGCUAAGGUGCGAAAGCGUGGGGAGCAAACAGG
rnacentral:rRNA from 1 species